rnacentral:tRNA from 1 species
UGUAAUUUAGUUUAGUGAGAAUUUUUAUUUUUGGUGUAAAGGGGUCUAAUUACAU